GACGAACGCUGGCGGCGUGCUUAACACAUGCAAGUCGAACGGAAAGGCCCUGCUUUUGUGGGGUGCUCGAGUGGCGAACGGGUGAGUAACACGUGAGUAACCUGCCCUUGACUUUGGGAUAACUUCAGGAAACUGGGGCUAAUACCGGAUAUGAGCUCCUGCUGCAUGUUGGGGGUUGGAAAGUUUCGGCGUUUGGGGAUGGACUCGCGGCUUAUCAGCUUGUUGGUGGGGUAGUGGCUUACCAAGGCUUUGACGGGUAGCCGGCCUGAGAGGGUGAACGGCAACAUGGGGACUGAGAUAAGGCCCAGACGCCUACGGGAGGCAGCAGUGGGGAAUAUUGCACAAUGGGCGGAAGCCUGAUGCAGAAACGCAGCGUGCGGGAUGACGGCCUUCGGGUUGUAAACCGCUUUCGCCUGUGACGAAGCGUGAGUGACGGUAAUGGGUAAAGAAGCACCGGCUAACUACGUG
rnacentral:rRNA from 1 species